AUUGAACAAUUGUUAUCUUUACAAAGAGUGGAAAUACUCAAAAAAAUUCUUUUUCAACUUUGUUUUCUAGAUAGAAUGAUAUCCAGUUGGAAGAAAAAAAAAUCUUCCUUACAUUUUUCCUUGGCUUAUAUUGAAUUUCCAAUGUAUAUUUUAUUAUGAUGUAAAUCUUUGGUCAUCUGCUGCACUUCUUCAUUCUCUAGCAUCUUUAUUUUCUCUAGGAAAUUGAUUCCAAAAUUGGCCCUGACUUCUCUCCUGGGCCCAAAUCUGUCUUUUGAAUGUCCUGCUGAACAUCUCUACAUCGGUGUCCUGCAAAUGCUAUAAACUCAUCAUGUCCCCAUUUCUGUGCAGAAUUCCCAAGAAAUGUCACUUUGAACUCCAUGAAUAUGGAAAAUGGGUAUGACAUGAAUUAAAAAUCUUCAUUGAAAUACAUACAAGUAAUUUUAACAGUAUACACAAGGCAUAUGUUGGGGCAAGUGUCUAUCAAAAAAGUCAAGAGGAGAAUGAAGACAAUUUCAUAGAUGACUAUUUCAUGCCCAGUCCACGACACGCUGGCAGGCUGGAGGUAUUAUUAAGAUUACAGGAGUGGCCAUCUUUCAUUGAACUACUAGACUGGACAGUUGUUGAGCAAAACAGACUGUAACUUGGAUUUUAAUUAAUUGGACAUCUGAGAAUUGUGACAACACGUUUGAAGUAAUGAUUUAUGGAAGAAAAUUUUCACCAACCCCGUAUUG